GGGUUGUGAGGUUAAGCGACUAAGCGUACACGGUGGAUGCCCUGGCAGUCAGAGGCGAUGAAGGACGUGCUAAUCUGCGAUAAGCGUCGGUAAGGUGAUAUGAACCGUUAUAACCGGCGAUUUCCGAAUGGGGAAACCCAGUGUGUUUCGACACACUAUCAUUAACUGAAUCCAUAGGUUAAUGAGGCGAACCGGGGGAACUGAAACAUCUAAGUACCCCGAGGAAAAGAAAUCAACCGAGAUUCCCCCAGUAGCGGCGAGCGAACGGGGAGCAGCCCAGAGCCUGAAUCAGUGUGUGUGUUAGUGGAAGCGUCUGGAAAGGCGCGCGAUACAGGGUGACAGCCCCGUACACAAAAAUGCACAUGCUGUGAGCUCGAUGAGUAGGGCGGGACACGUGGUAUCCUGUCUGAAUAUGGGGGGACCAUCCUCCAAGGCUAAAUACUCCUGACUGACCGAUAGUGAACCAGUACCGUGAGGGAAAGGCGAAAAGAACCCCGGCGAGGGGAGUGAAAAAGAACCUGAAACCGUGUACGUACAAGCAGUGGGAGCACAGAGCAAUCUGUGUGACUGCGUACCUUUUGUAUAAUGGGUCAGCGACUUAUAUUCUGUAGCAAGGUUAACCGAAUAGGGGAGCCGAAGGGAAACCGAGUCUUAACUGGGCGUUAAGUUGCAGGGUAUAGACCCGAAACCCGGUGAUCUAGCCAUGGGCAGGUUGAAGGUUGGGUAACACUAACUGGAGGACCGAACCGACUAAUGUUGAAAAAUUAGCGGAUGACUUGUGGCUGGGGGUGAAAGGCCAAUCAAACCGGGAGAUAGCUGGUUCUCCCCGAAAGCUAUUUAGGUAGCGCCUCGUGAAUUCAUCUCCGGGGGUAGAGCACUGUUUCGGCAAGGGGGUCAUCCCGACUUACCAACCCGAUGCAAACUGCGAAUACCGGAGAAUGUUAUCACGGGAGACACACGGCGGGUGCUAACGUCCGUCGUGAAGAGGGAAACAACCCAGACCGCCAGCUAAGGUCCCAAAGUCAUGGUUAAGUGGGAAACGAUGUGGGAAGGCCCAGACAGCCAGGAUGUUGGCUUAGAAGCAGCCAUCAUUUAAAGAAAGCGUAAUAGCUCACUGGUCGAGUCGGCCUGCGCGGAAGAUGUAACGGGGCUAAACCAUGCACCGAAGCUGCGGCAGCGACGCUGAUGCGUUGUUGGGUAGGGGAGCGUUCUGUAAGCCUGCGAAGGUGUGCUGUGAGGCAUGCUGGAGGUAUCAGAAGUGCGAAUGCUGACAUAAGUAACGAUAAAGCGGGUGAAAAGCCCGCUCGCCGGAAGACCAAGGGUUCCUGUCCAACGUUAAUCGGGGCAGGGUGAGUCGACCCCUAAGGCGAGGCCGAAAGGCGUAGUCGAUGGGAAACAGGUUAAUAUUCCUGUACUUGGUGUUACUGCGAAGGGGGGACGGAGAAGGCUAUGUUGGCCGGGCGACGGUUGUCCCGGUUUAAGCGUGUAGGCUGGUUUUCCAGGCAAAUCCGGAAAAUCAAGGCUGAGGCGUGAUGACGAGGCACUACGGUGCUGAAGCAACAAAUGCCCUGCUUCCAGGAAAAGCCUCUAAGCAUCAGGUAACAUCAAAUCGUACCCCAAACCGACACAGGUGGUCAGGUAGAGAAUACCAAGGCGCUUGAGAGAACUCGGGUGAAGGAACUAGGCAAAAUGGUGCCGUAACUUCGGGAGAAGGCACGCUGAUAUGUAGGUGAAGUCCCUCGCGGAUGGAGCUGAAAUCAGUCGAAGAUACCAGCUGGCUGCAACUGUUUAUUAAAAACACAGCACUGUGCAAACACGAAAGUGGACGUAUACGGUGUGACGCCUGCCCGGUGCCGGAAGGUUAAUUGAUGGGGUUAGCGCAAGCGAAGCUCUUGAUCGAAGCCCCGGUAAACGGCGGCCGUAACUAUAACGGUCCUAAGGUAGCGAAAUUCCUUGUCGGGUAAGUUCCGACCUGCACGAAUGGCGUAAUGAUGGCCAGGCUGUCUCCACCCGAGACUCAGUGAAAUUGAACUCGCUGUGAAGAUGCAGUGUACCCGCGGCAAGACGGAAAGACCCCGUGAACCUUUACUAUAGCUUGACACUGAACAUUGAGCCUUGAUGUGUAGGAUAGGUGGGAGGCUUUGAAGUGUGGACGCCAGUCUGCAUGGAGCCGACCUUGAAAUACCACCCUUUAAUGUUUGAUGUUCUAACGUUGACCCGUAAUCCGGGUUGCGGACAGUGUCUGGUGGGUAGUUUGACUGGGGCGGUCUCCUCCUAAAGAGUAACGGAGGAGCACGAAGGUUGGCUAAUCCUGGUCGGACAUCAGGAGGUUAGUGCAAUGGCAUAAGCCAGCUUGACUGCGAGCGUGACGGCGCGAGCAGGUGCGAAAGCAGGUCAUAGUGAUCCGGUGGUUCUGAAUGGAAGGGCCAUCGCUCAACGGAUAAAAGGUACUCCGGGGAUAACAGGCUGAUACCGCCCAAGAGUUCAUAUCGACGGCGGUGUUUGGCACCUCGAUGUCGGCUCAUCACAUCCUGGGGCUGAAGUAGGUCCCAAGGGUAUGGCUGUUCGCCAUUUAAAGUGGUACGCGAGCUGGGUUUAGAACGUCGUGAGACAGUUCGGUCCCUAUCUGCCGUGGGCGCUGGAGAACUGAGGGGGGCUGCUCCUAGUACGAGAGGACCGGAGUGGACGCAUCACUGGUGUUCGGGUUGUCAUGCCAAUGGCACUGCCCGGUAGCUAAAUGCGGAAGAGAUAAGUGCUGAAAGCAUCUAAGCACGAAACUUGCCCCGAGAUGAGUUCUCCCUGACUCCUUGAGAGUCCUGAAGGAACGUUGAAGACGACGACGUUGAUAGGCCGGGUGUGUAAGCGCAGCGAUGCGUUGAGCUAACCGGUACUAAUGAACCGUGAGGCUUAACCUUACAACGCCGAAGCUGUU
rnacentral:rRNA from 1 species